UGGAUGCCCUGGCAGUCAGAGGCGAUGAAGGACGUGCUAAUCUGCGAUAAGCGCCGGUAAGGUGAUAUGAACCGUUAUAACCGGCGAUUUCCGAAUGGGGAAACCCAGUGUGAUUCGUCACACUAUCAUUAACUGAAUCCAUAGGUUAAUGAGGCGAACCGGGGGAACUGAAACAUCUAAGUACCCCGAGGAAAAGAAAUCAACCGAGAUUCCCCCAGUAGCGGCGAGCGAACGGGGAGGAGCCCAGAGCCUGAAUCAGCAUGUGUGUUAGUGGAAGCGUCUGGAAAGGCGCGCGAUACAGGGUGACAGCCCCGUACACAAAAGCGCAUGUGCUGUGAGCUCGAUGAGUAGGGCGGGACACGUGGUAUCCUGUCUGAAUAUGGGGGGACCAUCCUCCAAGGCUAAAUACUCCUGACUGACCGAUAGUGAACCAGUACCGUGAGGGAAAGGCGAAAAGAACCCCGGCGAGGGGAGUGAAAAAGAA
rnacentral:rRNA from 1 species